UACGUAGGGACCGAGCGUUGUCCGGAAUCAUUGGGCGUAAAGAGCGUGUAGGCGGCCUUUUAAGUUCUGCGUGAAAUCCUGCGGCUCAACCGCAGACGGUCGUGGGAAACUGGAAGGCUAGAGUGCGGGAGAGGAGAGUGGAAUUCCCGGUGUAGCGGUGAAAUGCGCAGAUAUCGGGAAGAAUACCCGUGGCGAAGGCGGCUCUCUGGAACGCAACUGACGCUGAGACGCGAAAGCGUGGGGAGCGAACAGG
rnacentral:rRNA from 1 species